rnacentral:rRNA from 1 species
AUUGAACGCUGGCGGCAGGCCUAACACAUGCAAGUCGAGCGGAGCGGCGGACGGGUGAGUAAUGCCUAGGAAUCUGCCUGGUAGUGGGGGUUAACGUCCGGAACGGGCCCCUAAUCCCACAUCCUAUCAGCUGAGCCUAGGUCGGGUUAGCUAGUGGGUGGGGUAACGGCCUACGAAGGCGACGACCCGUAACUGGUCUGAGAGGAUGAUCAGUCACACGGGAACUGAGAAACGGUCCAGACUCCUACGGGAGGCAGCAGUGGGGAAUAUUGGAAAAUGGGCGAAAGCCUGAUCCAGCCAUGCCGCGGGUGUGAAGAAGGUCUUCGGAUUGUAAAGCACUUUAAGUGGGGAGGCGGUACCAACAGAAGAAGCACCGGCUAACUUCGUGCCAGCAGCCGCGGUAAUAC